rnacentral:rRNA from 1 species
CAGUAGCCACGGGAAUACGAAGGGUGCAAGCGUUAAUCGGAAUUACUGGGCGUAAAGCGUGCGUAGGCGGUUUGUUAAGUCUGUUGUGAAAUCCCCGGGCUCAACCUGGGAAUGGCAAUGGAUACUGGCAAGCUAGAGUGUGUCAGAGGAUGGUGGAAUUCCCGGUGUAGCGGUGAAAUGCGUAGAGAUCGGGAGGAACAUCAGUGGCGAAGGCGGCCAUCUGGGACAACACUGACGCUGAGGCACGAAAGCGUGGGGAGCAAACAGGAUUAGAUACCCGAGUAGUCCCUGUCUCUUAUAU